GCUAAGCAAACUCUAAACAAUCACUUAUAACUCUAUAGAAAACAAAGCUAGAGAUAUUACACAAUCAAGCAUGAAUGUAAGGCAUGAAAUACAAGAGAUAAGGCAUCACAAACACAAAGAUGUAUAGUGGUUCGGUGCACCCCAGUACCUACAUCCACUCCCCAAGACUUCUUGGGAAUUUCACUAUAACCCCUCAGAUUACAGUCGGUUGUUUUACAAGCUCACAACCCAACUUGUUGUUUUGCGAGAUCACAACGAACUCGGUCGGUUUUCACAGGCUCACCGACUAGAACCAACCGAUUAUUUUCACGGGCUCACAAUCCAACCCAGUUGGUUUUCCCAAAGGCUCACCAACUACAACCUUACAACGACUGUUUUCCGGGUUCACAAUCAACCCAGUUGGUUUUCCCAAAGGCUCACCAACCACAACCUUACAACGUUGGUUUUCCCUUUGGCUCACCAACAAACCUUAACACC
rnacentral:lncRNA from 1 species